UCCGGUUUGGCACCGGCAGUCCUCCCAGAGUCCUCGGCUCUACCCGGUAGCAACUGGGAGCGGGGGUUGCGCUCGUUGCGGGACUUAACCCAACAUCUCACGACACGAGCUGACGACAGCCAUGCAGCAUCUGUGCUGGCUCUCGACUUUACGAGUGGUUCCCCUUUCGGGGUUCUACUUCCAGCAUGUCAAGCCUAGGUGAGGUUCUUCGCGUUGCAUCGAAUUAAACCACACGCUCCGCUGCUUGUGCAGGCCCCCGUCAAUUUCUUUGAGUUUUAAUCUUGCGACCGUACUCCCCAGGCGGGAUGCUUAAAGCGUUAGCUGCGCCACUGACGAGCAAGCUCGCCAACGGCUAGCAUCCAUCGUUUACGGCGUGGACUAC
rnacentral:misc_RNA from 1 species